GGGACAACAAAUGUGGUGAAAUAAUAAUGAGCUCUGUGGAGGACUCGAACCACGAACCUCCGCAAUCGCCAA